rnacentral:rRNA from 1 species
AUUGAACGCUGGCGGCAGGCCUAACACAUGCAAGUCGAGCGGAUGAAGGGAGCUUGCUCCUGGAUUCAGCGGCGGACGGGUGAGUAAUGCCUAGGAAUCUGCCUGGUAGUGGGGGAUAACGUCCGGAAACGGGCGCUAAUACCGCAUACGUCCUGAGGGAGAAAGUGGGGGAUCUUCGGACCUCACGCUAUCAGAUGAGCCUAGGUCGGAUUAGCUAGUUGGUGGGGUAAAGGCCUACCGAGGCGACGAUCCGUAACUGGUCUGAGAGGAUGAUCAGUCACACUGGAACUGAGACACGGUCCAGACUCCUACGGGAGGCAGCAGUGGGGAAUAUUGGACAAUGGGCGAAAGCCUGAUCCAGCCAUGCCGCGUGUGUGAAGAAGGUCUUCGGAUUGUAAAGCACUUUAAGUUGGGAGGAAGGGCAGUAAGUUAAUACCUUGCUGUUUUGACGUUACCAACAGAAUAAGCACCGGCUGACUUCGUG